rnacentral:tRNA from 1 species
GCGGAUGUGGCGGAAUUGGCAGACGCGCUAGAUUUAGGCUCUAGUGGGUAACACCGUGGAGGUUCAAGUCCUCUCAUCCGCACCA